AUUGAACGCUGGCGGCAGGCCUAACACAUGCAAGUCGAGCGGAGCGGCGGAAGGGUGAGUAAUGCCUAGGAAUCUGCCUGGUAGUGGGGGAUAACGUCCGGAAACGGGAGCUAAUACCGCAUACUAUCAGAUGAGCCUAGGUCGGAGUAGCUUGUUGGUGGGGUAAGGGCCUACCAAGGCGACGAUCCGUAACUGGUCUGUGAGGAGGAGCAGUCACACUGAAACUUAGACACGGUCCAGACUCCUACGGGAGGCAGCAGUGGGGAAUAUUGGACAAUUGGCGAAAGCCUGAUCCAGCCAUGCCGCGUGUGUGAAGAAGGUCUUCGUAUUUUAAAGCACUUGAAGUGGGUAGGCGUUACCAACAGAAGAAGCACCGGCUAACCUCGUGCCAGCAGCCGCGGUAAUAC
rnacentral:rRNA from 1 species